GCGCCCUUAGCUCAGAUGGAUAGAGCAGGAGCCUUCUAAGCUUCAGGCCGCUGGUUCGAAUCCAGCAGGGCGCGCCA
rnacentral:tRNA from 1 species